UCCCCCAUACUUUGUUAAGAUAUGUCUUAUUCAAUCUCUAGGAUAUGUUGGGUAUCUUAGGCAUAUAGGUGACUCUUGUUUGCGACACUACCCAUAGUUCUUUCGAGUAACGUAUGCUAGCUUUUCCUGUGGCUUGAUAAAUAGUCUUCUAUUGAAGGGACUUGUACAUUAACUAACGCAACGUCCAAUUCUAUUUUGACCUCAGAGAUAACUUUCUUUUCUUGUCCCAUUUUUUUAGUAUAAUUAUUAUCUCAAUAAUAUAUUCCUUUGUGUUAGUUUUAGGCUUUGAGCCUUUUGUGGUUCUACCAGGGCAUAAAUAUAAUAUAGUUCUAUCUGUUAUUUGGGCCUUAGCUUUAUGCGAUUCUUUGUAAGAUAUGAAUAUCUCGAAAUUUUCAGAAGAUCCCAACCCAAUUUUCAUGAAGCAUCUUUUCAUGAAUAAAGGUCAUUAGGCCCAGUUUGGUAAUUAAAUACACUUAUUAAAUCAAAACUUUGAAUCUUUAACACUGACAUAUCGAUUUAGCCAUUAUGUAUUAGUUUUAUGAAGAGUUGAAAACUUGAGAUGCAUUCAGAUGCUACAUUUCUAAUAUUCGGGCAUCUGAACUAUCUAGUAUUCUAGUGUGCUGUCAGUCUGCAAAUUACGUCUUGUCCUUUGGUCAUUUCUGCAAGUACCUGAACGUGUUUAUGGUCCUGCACUCAUAUUUUAAAUGUUGAUGUUCAGAUGAACGUUUAUAUGGUCCUGCACUCGCAUUUAAAUGUUUGGUAAAUGGAUGUUUCAUUAAUAUUGAAGGGAAAGUUCUAACUUUCUAGGGAGUCAAGCCGAGGGAGAAAGCAAUAUUCUUAUUAUGUAAUAACCAGAAAGAACCAAUCAUACAUCAGCUGAUGAAAUGUCUGCAUACGGCAUGGCUGUUUGGGCUGCUCUUCUUUUCCCUUGCAACAAAUUGGAUAGGGUUGCUGGCAUGGCAAGAUAAAGUGGGGCUUGCCAGGGAGAAGCAAAUAGUCCUACCCCAUCCACAAAGUUGGAGAGAUUAACAUUGCAUGUCUAUGCUGCCUACAGAACCCUUCAAACAAGGUUUGGGUACAAAAGUCUCGCCAAAAAGAAAGGUGAACCCGGUCGCUUGGCCAUUUUACAUGGGUGGGGCGCUGGGCUGGCCGGCUGGGCUCUGGUGGUAGCUGAGAUUAAAUAGCAUCAAGCAGGUACACCAGGACACUGCAACUUUGUUUGCAUAUUCAGAGGGAUUAUUUGUCUGGCAACUGCAUUCAAGUCUUGAUGUAGUACAAAAUUCUAAUUCUUUUUUUUUGCCUUUGAUUGAGAGAGGUUAUUAAUUCGAUAGCUGCAUUCAACUCUUGCUGUGCAAUGUUCUUAUUUU